GACGAACGCUGGCGGCGUGCUUAACACAUGCAAGUCGAACGGUAAGGCCCUUCGGUGUACACGAGUGCCGAACGUGUUAGUAACACGUGGGUGAUCUGCCUGGCACUUCGGGAUAGCCCUGGUAAACUGGCUCUAAUACCGGAUAGAAGCAGGCGCUUCACGGUGUGCGGGCGGCAGCGUUUGCGGUGUGGGAGAGGGCCGCGGGCUAUCAGCUUGUUGGUGGGGUAAUGGGCUACCAAUGCGACGACGGGUAGCCGGCCUGAGAGGGUGACCGGCCACACUGGGACUGAGAUACGGCCCAGACUCCUACGGGAGGCAGCAGUGGGGAAUAUUGCACAAUGGGCGCAAGCCUGAUGCAGCGACGCCGCGUGAGGGAUGACGGCCUUCGGGUUGUAAACCUCUUUCAGUAGGGACGAAGCGCAAGUGACGGUACCUACAGAAGAAGGACCGGCCAACUACGUGCCAGCCGCCGCCGUAA
rnacentral:rRNA from 1 species